GAGUUUGAUCAUGGCUCAGAUUGAACGCUGGCGGCAUGCCUUACACAUGCAAGUCGAACGGCAGCAUUGAUCUAGCUUUGCUACGAUUGAGUGGCGAGUGGCGAACGGGUGAGUAAUACAUCGGAACGUGCCCUGUAGUGGGGAUAACUAGUCGAAGAUUAGCUAAUACCGCAUACGACCUGAGGGUGAAAGUGGGGGACCGCAAGGCCUCAUGCUAUAGGAGCGGCCGAUGUCUGAUUAGCUAGUUGGUGGGGUAAAGGCCCACCUAAGGCGACGAUCAGUAGCUGGGUCUGAGAGGACGAUCAGCCACACUGGGACUGAGACACGGCCCAGACUCCUACGGGAGGCAGCAGUGGGGAAUUUUGGACAAUGGGCGAAAAGCCUGAUCCAGCAAUGCCGCGUGUGUGAAGAA
rnacentral:rRNA from 1 species